rnacentral:rRNA from 1 species
UACGAAUGGGGCAAGCGUUGUCCGGAAUCAUUGGGCGUAAAGAGCGUGUAGGCGGCCUGAUAAGUCGGCUGUGAAAGUCAAGGGCUCAACCCUUGAAUGCCGGCCGAUACUGUCAGGCUAGAGUCCGGAAGAGGCGAGUGGAAUUCCUGGUGUAGCGGUGAAAUGCGCAGAUAUCAGGAGGAAUACCGAUGGCGAAGGCAGGUCUCUGGGCUGACACUGACGCUCAUGCACGAAAGCGUGGGGAGCAAACAGG